rnacentral:sRNA from 1 species
UUUAUGACCAGCUGCAAGGGGAAGCUGGGUCUCCCUAUCACGGGGAGUCUAGGGAAAGGGGGAAAGUCUUCCAGCCUGAACUUUAACCAGAUUCCUACUUGUGCAAGAAGCAGAAGCACAAUUUGAAGUUAAUAGAAGCUUUCUCAUGGAGAACUUUAUUCCCUCUCUGAGCUCUUCUAGCAAGUUGUCUUGGAGUUGACUACGCAGUGACGACGGAGAUUACCCAGUCAACUAUUUUUGAACACUGAAAGGGAAAAUCACCUUUAAAUUGAAAAGAUAAUUUUCAGAAGAGAUUUGACUGUGUUUUGUGCUCCUCAGCAUUCAUGCAAAGGUGUUCGCAGAGUACAGAAACGGAUGAGCCAAGGAGCAGCAUAUAGUCCAGAGGGUCAGCCCAUGGGGAGCUUUGUGUUGGAUGGUCAGCAACACAUGGGGAUCCGGCCUGCAGGACCUAUGAGUGGAAUGGGCAUGAAUAUGGGCAUGGAUGGGCAAUGGCACUACAUGUAACCUUCAUCAUGUAAAGCAAUCGCAAAGCAAGGGGGAAGUUUGCAGAGCAUGCCAGGGGACU